rnacentral:rRNA from 1 species
GACGAACGCUGGCGGCGUGCCUAAUACAUGCAAGUCGAACGCAGUUGAGAACGGGUGAGUGACCGGUAGGUUACUGCCUGGUAGCGGGGGAACACUAUUGGAAACGAUAGCUAAUACAGCGUACUACCAGAUGGUCCUGCGUUGUAUUAGCUAGUGUGUGGGGUAACGGCCCACCAAGGCACAGAUACAUAGGCGACCUGAGAGGGUGGUUGGCCACACUGGGACUGAGACACGGCCCAGACUCCUACGGGAGGCCGCAGUAGGGAAUCUUCGGGAAUGGACGGAAGUCCGACCGAGCAACGCCGCGUGAGGGAAGAAGGUUUUUGGAACGUAAAGCUCUGUUGUAAGAGAAGCGGUAUCUUACCAGAAAGGGACGGCUAACUACGUGCCAGCAGCCGCGGUAAUAC